CUCAGCUUAACUAUUAUCUUUAAUUUUGCUUUCUUUACAUUUUAAAGGAAACUUUAAAAUUAAAGCAAUUCAAGUAAAUGCUUUGUUGCAGGUAAUGAUUUGCAAGAGUGUAGUUGUAUAGAAAAUGAUUUAUUUUGAAAGUAUAUUCAAUUUUUCAAAGUAAAUCAGAGAGGCAUACAUAUUUGGAACUUUUCUAGAGGGAACUAGGUGGUGCUGUUCUGUCAUCUUUGUGUCUUAGUGACUUCUUUGAUUCUUUUCUCAGUUCAUUAAACAUUUUUGUACAAUAGGUAAGGUAUAGUUUUGGUCUAUAGUGGCCUUAUUUUUGUUAACCAAUGAAGUUUAUAUUGAUCUUGAAU
rnacentral:lncRNA from 1 species